rnacentral:misc_RNA from 1 species
GGAAGGAUCAGUACCGAGUGGUUGAUUUGUGGCACCUUGGGUGAGCUGGUAUGAGUGGCAGGUUAUGUAUAUCAUAGCGGUCACUUGUCACCACUCGCGCAACUUGUACUUUUUACUUUUUACAACACACACACACACACCGCUGGCAACGGAUCUCUCGGCUCCGGCGCCGAGGAAGAACGCAGCAAGCUGCGAUACGUGGCGCGAACCGCAUGACCUGUGAGUCGCCAGUCUUCGAACGCAAUGCGCCCUUGGGCGUGUCCGUCUGAGUGUGUACAUCGAACCACACGCGUGGGGGUGGCCACGGGCUGAAAAGCAGGGUGCACGAGGAUCAAGGCACAGCCCAACUCGACACACCAUUAUUUAACUUAACUUAACCUUGCGCCUCAGACGGACAGGAAGACCCGCUGAACUUAAGCAUAUCAGUAAGCGGAGGAAAAGAAACUAACCAGGAUUCCCUCAGUAACGGCGAGUGAAGCGGGACAAGCCCAACAUUGGAACCACACUAGUGGAUUGUAGUUGCAAGACGUGCGCAAACCUUUAAUUUAGUUAUCCAAGUCCCCUGGAACGGGGCGCCACAGAGGGUGAUAGCCCCGUGGGAUUUCGCAGUGAAAAGGUGCACAUGUCAACGAGUCGGAUUGCUUGGGAGUGCAGUCCUAACGGGUGGUACAUGCCAUCCAAGGCUAAAUACAAGCCGGAGCCCGAUAGCAUACAAGUACCGUGAGGGAAAGAUGAAAAGGACUUUGGAAAGAGAGUCAAAAGUACGUGAAAUUGCCAACGUGGAAGCGUGCGCGCGACGAGGGGUGCAGAUAGGAAAUUAAGUUGACAAAGCCGUAAGGUAGCCAGCAAUGGAGCGUUACGGAAACGGACUAAAUAACCAAGCUGCACUGGUCGCGUGCACGGCCCGUCUUGAAACACGGACCAAGGAGUCUAGCGGGGGUGCGAGUAUAUGGGAGACAACCCUGUAUGCGCAGCAAACGCGUACGUGCGAUUUCUUAAGAAAGCAGCACGGAGGUGGGGGGCGUGAUCGUCACCUGCCACAGCACCGACGCUAGGACCCGAAAGAUGGUGAACUAUGCCUGAAUAGGGCGAAGCCAGAGGAAACUCUGGUGGAGGCUCGUAGCGGUUCUGACGUGCAAAUCGAUCGUCGAAUUUGGGUAUAGGGGCGAAAGACUAAUCGAACCAUCUAGUAGCUGGUUCCCUC